CUUGACGGAGCCGAGCCACAGCGGCCGGUCCGCCGGGCGGUCCUGGCCGUACGUCGCGAGGAGCGCCUGGGCUUC
rnacentral:antisense_RNA from 1 species